rnacentral:rRNA from 1 species
UACGGGGGGGGCAAGCGUUGUUCGGAAUUACUGGGCGUAAAGGGCUUGUAGGUGGCCAACUAAGUCAGACGUGAAAUCCCUCAGCCUAACUGGGGAACUGCGUCUGAUACUGGAUGGCUUGAGAUUGGGAGAGGGACGCGGAAUUCCACGUGUAGCAGUGAAAUGCGUAGAGAUGUGGAGGAAUACCGAUGGCGAAGGCAGCCCCCUGGGAUAACACUGACGCUCAUGCACGAAAGCGUGGGGAGCAAACAGG